UGACCUCAAAUCAGGUAGGACUACCCGCUGAACUUAAGCAUAUCAAUAAGCGGAGGAAAAGAAACUAACAAGGAUUCCCCUAGUAACUGCGAGUGAAGAGGGAAAAGCUCAAAUUUAAAAUCUGGCAGCUUGCUGUCCGAGUUGUAAUUUAGAGAAGUGUUACCCGUGCUGGACCGUGUACAAGUCUUCUGGAACGGAGCGUCAUAGAGGGUGAGAAUCCCGUCUUUGACACGGACUACCAGUACAUUGUGGUACACUCUCAAAGAGUCGUGUUGUUUGGGAAUGCAGCACUAAAUGGGUGGUAAAUUCCAUCUAAAGCUAAAUAUUGGCGAGAGACCGAUAGCAAACAAGUACCGUGAGGGAAAGAUGAAAAGAACUUUGGAAAGAGAGUUAAACAGUACGUGAAAUUGUUAAAAGGGAAACGCUUGAAGUCCAGUCGCGUUGGUUGGAAAUCAGUCUUGCUUUUGCUUGAUGUACUUUCUAACUGACGGGUCAACAUCAGUUUUGACCGUUGGAAAAAGAUUAGAGGAAUGUGGCAUCUUYGGAUGUGUUAUAGCCUUUAGUUGUAUACAACGGUUGGGACUGAGGAACUCAGCACGCCGAAAGGCCAGGUACUUGUACCAUGUACGUGCUUAGGA
rnacentral:rRNA from 1 species